AGAGAGCCACAGAGAGGGAGAGGCAGAGAGAAACCAGCAAUCUUUAAACUCGAGCUUUUUUUUCCCCCCCUUUCCCUCUUUUGCUUUUUUUCUAUUGUAACGAUGUGCUAAAAUCUCUCCUGCUAACCGGUAAGUACAACCUUUCUGGAUCCUUUUGUUUCCGCCUAGGGUCAAAGACACCCCCCUCUUCCAAAAAAAAGAUAUAAUAAUCCUCUUUAUUUAUUUUUUUAUUUUUAUUACAGCCCUUGCAGAAGAGAAAGAACUUAAUAUUUUGCAAAGGAGACAGAGAGACUGAUACUGCAAUAUAGCUCUCAUCUCUCUCCCUUCUCCCCAAUUAGAUGCUGGUUUUAAUUGCAGAGGGUAUUUCUCUUUUCGUGCUUUCAACCAUCUCCUCUUUCCCACAGGGGAGGGUUUCAUUUGCAAGUUGAUCCUAAGGAUUUCUGUUCCUCUGGCAUUUCUCUCCCCUAAAUGCAUCUUUCUGCUCUUAAGUUUGUGGAUGGGGGGCAAAUUUUUCUAGUUCUUGCACGAGGAAGGCAAAAAGGACCUUUUCUAUUGAGAGAUUAAGACUAAAAGCAACGAUCGCUCCGAAUGAUUCUAAUGGGCAUUUCAGGGAUUCAAGGAAGGGCUGCAUCACCACCGUUAUUAUUACCAUCCUUAGCGUUUCUCUGUGCCCAUACAUUUAAAAUAUCUGGUGAAAGGAAGGGUGAAACCAUAUGUUGAAGGAGCUGCAUCUCAUUAGUGCAGCAUUAUUUUCAUCUGAUUGGAGAAGAAUGGUGUCUUCAUUCGGGAACGUAUAUAGUAGGAUAGCAAAUUUAUCGGCUGGUAAGUGUCAAGGUAUUUUUUUUUUCCUUCCACUUUCAGCUUUUUAACCGGGUCUCCUGCUUGGUCCUGGGGGCACAAAAUGCCCUAAUCCAAGGCAGGCUGAGCGUUUCAAUCCUAGGUGCCUCUUUAGCUGUCACUUCCCUUUAGAUCUGCUGAUCGCAUGGGCAUGUGCUUUAGAAAGAUUAAUCAUCUCUAAACGCUUUAAUCAGCUAAAAUGACUAAUAUGUGGUGUGUAUUUAUCUGAUAAUAUACCAGUUGCAUUAAUUCACCGGCGCAUUUGCGAGGGGAAGCUUCCCUUUCGAAUCAGGGCUGUUAACCAUUUACUCCGGUAAAGAUACUGUGGGGAUUUCUGAGGGGAUCCGUUCUGCCAGGGACAUCAGCAAACCCUGCACACUCCUCUGAACUUACGUGUGGAAUAUAUUGAGCUGGGAGGGAGAGGGGUUCGAGGGUUGAGGCUCAAUAACUUUGGGAGUUUGCAUGGAUGAAGGAUGGAGUGCGACACCAGAGAAAUCUGCCCACUGGUGUUUUCCCCCCCCUGUAGCCAAUGCGGGCUGUGAUGGCUACAAAGCACCCGAGUGUGAGAUCCGUGGAGUUCCAAACGCUGGUCCUACGGUGGAAAUCAUGUAGAGAUGCAACACGUCCAUCCUGUGUGUGCUCGUGUUGCUGUGUGGGGCUGCAUGUGCUGUCCCCUUUAUAGGUGGCAUUUACCACGGGGAGGGGGAGAAGGGAGGCUGCUAUCGCGUGAUGGAACCGUCUACCAUCUCUUAAGUAUAAAUCAGGGCAAGGCUCGCCCAUCCCACACCCCUGGAGUUGGUUGUGAACGUCUGCCCAACAAUUGCUGAACUUUCCAAGAGCCUAACACGAGUCUGGCAGGUAGGGGCUUAAAUAAAAGGAGCGGGGCAGAAGUACUGAAAUCUGCAUUUUUCUUCCCGUUGCAGUUUUGUAAACACCAUCAAAUGAUGAAACCGUCCACAGCAGAGACACUUCAUAAAGGAAGGAUGUUGUGGAUAAUUCUUCUAAGCACAAUUGCUCUAGCAUGGACUACACCUAUCCCCUUGAUAGAGGACUCGGAGGAACUGGAUGAGCCCUGCUUUGAUCCAUGUUACUGUGAAGUGAAGGAGAGCCUUUUCCAUAUACAUUGUGACAACAAAGGAUUUAUAAAUAUUAGUCAGAUAACAGAGUCGUGGUCGAGACCUUUUAAACUUUAUCUGCAGAGGAAUUCCAUGAGGAAAUUGUACACCAACAGUUUUCUUCACUUGAACAAUGCUGUGUCUAUUAACCUUGGGAACAAUGCACUGCAGGACAUUCAGACGGGGGCUUUUAAUGGGCUCCGAGUUCUGAAGAGGUUGUAUUUGCACGAAAACAAAUUGGACAUUUUCAGGAACGACACUUUCCUGGGUUUGGAAAGUCUGGAAUAUCUGCAGGCAGAUUACAAUGUCAUUAAACGGAUUGAAAGCGGGGCAUUUCGAAACCUAAGUAAAUUGAGGGUCCUUAUCCUAAAUGACAAUCUCAUCCCCAUGCUUCCCACCAAUUUAUUUAAGUCUGUGUCCUUAACCCACUUGGACUUGCGCGGGAACCGGCUAAAAGUCCUUUCGUACCGCGGGAUGUUGGACCAUAUUGGCAGGAGCCUGAUGGAGAUCCAGCUGGAGGAGAACCCGUGGAACUGUACGUGUGAGAUCGUGCAGCUGAAGAGCUGGUUGGAGCGCAUCCCCUACACUGCUCUGGUGGGGGACAUCACCUGCGAGACCCCCUUCCACUUCCACGGGAAGGACCUGAGGGAGAUCAAGAGAAGCAAGCUGUGUCCCAUGCUGUCCGACUCCGAGGUGGAAGCCAGCCUGGGCAUCCCUCAGCUGUCGUCCAGCAAGGAGAACGCGUGGCCUACGAAGCCUUCCUCCAUGCUGUCCUCCUUCCAUUUCACCGCCUCCUCUGUUGAGUACAAAACGUCCAACAAGCAGCCCAAGCCCACCAAGCAGCCCAGGGCACCCCGGCCUCCCCCGACCCCCCGCGGCCUGUACCCCGGGCCCAACCAACCCCCCGUGGCUGCUUACCAGACCCGGCCCCCCAUCCCCAUCAUCUGUCCCACCGGCUGCUCUUGUAGUUUGCACAUCAACGACCUGGGCCUGACGGUCAACUGCAAGGAGCGAGGGUUCCACAACAUCUCCGAGCUCCUGCCCAGGCCCUUGAACGCCAAGAAGUUGUACCUGAGCGGGAAUUUGAUCCAGAAAAUCUACCGCUCCGAUUUCUGGAAUUUUUCCUCCUUGGAUCUCUUACACCUGGGGAACAACCGGAUCUCCUACGUGCAGGACGGGGCGUUCAUCAACCUGCCCAACCUCAAGAGCCUGUACCUGAACGGGAACGACAUCGAGCGGCUCACCCCGGGCAUGUUCCGGGGCCUGCAGAGUUUGCAUUACCUGUACUUCGAGUACAACCUGAUCAGGGAAAUCCAGCCGGCGGCCUUCAGCCUCAUGCCCAACCUGAAGCUCCUCUUCCUCAACGACAACCUGCUCCGCACUCUGCCCACCGACGCCUUCGCCGGCACCUCCCUGGCGCGCCUCAACCUGCGCAACAACCACUUCCUGGCGCUGCCGGUGGCCGGGGUGCUGGAGCACCUGCACGCCAUCGUGCAGAUCGACCUGAAGCUCAACCCCUGGGACUGCACCUGCGAGCUGGUGCCGCUCAAGCAGUGGCUGGAGGCGCUCAGCUCGGUCAGCGUGGUGGGCGAGGUGCUGUGCGCCAGCCCCGAGCCGCUGGCCCGCCGCGACCUGCGCUCCCUGGAGCUGGCCGCGCUGUGCCCCGCCGCCCUGCGCCCCGCCGCCGCCGCCGCCUCGCCCCCCGCCGCCCCUCCGCCGCCCGCGGCCACCGGCGCGGCCGCCUACGAGCUGCCCCCGGCCGCGGCCGCCGCCGCCGUGCCGCUGUCCGUGCUCAUCCUCAGCCUGCUCGUCCUCUUCUUCUCCGCCGUGCUGGUGGCCGCCGGGCUCUUCGCCUUCGUGCUGCGGCGCCGCCGGAGGAAGCUGCCGUUCCGCGGCCCGCGGGCGGAGGCGGCGGACCUGGGCGCGGUGCCGCUGCGCUGCCCGAGGCUCUUUCCCGAGGGUGGCGGCGGCGGCGGCGGCGGCGGGGGGGGCACCGGCGAGCGGUCCCCGGAGAAGGCGCCCCCGGCGGGCCACGUCUACGACUACAUCCCGCACCCGGUGACCCAGAUGUGCAACAACCCCAUCUACAAGCCGCGGGAGGAGGAGGAGGCGGCGGGCGGCGGCGGCGGCGGCGGAGGUGGAGGUGGAGGGGAGGCGGCCGAGCUGCUGCGGGGCGGCGGCGAGCGCGGCUUCGCCCACCCCGCCGCCCCCGCCGCCGCGCCGGAGCCCGGCAGCUGCUACCGCACCUUGCUGGAGAAGGAGCAGGAGUGGAGCCUGGCCGUGUCCAGCUCGCAGCUCAACACCAUCGUGGCCGUGCACCCCCAGCACCCCGCGGGCGGAGGGCUGGCGGCGGGCGCGCUCGGGGCGGCGGCGGCGGCGGCGGGGGGAGCCCCGCGGGACCGCGACCGCCCGCCGCCCUGCGCCGUGGGCUUCGUGGACUGCCUGUACGGCACCGUGCCCAAGCUGAAGGAACUGCACGUCCACCCCCCCGGCAUGCAAUACCCGGACCUGCAGCAGGACGCCAGGCUGAAGGAGACGCUCCUCUUCGCGGCCGGCAAGGGCUUCCCGGACCACCAAACCCCCACAAGCGAAUACCUCGAGUUAAGGGCCAAACUCCAAACCAAGCCGGAUUACCUCGAAGUCCUGGAGAAGACCACGUACCGGUUCUGACCGCCGCCCCGCCGCCCGCCCGGCCCCGCCGCCCGCGGGCAGAGGAUACAGCUGUGCGCUCUGCCCCGCCAGAUGUGCGCGCUGCGGGGCAGGGCCCUUCUCAGAUCAGUAAUCGACGAAGUGCCUUCGCAGACUUUUGCCAGCAGAUGUUAAUCAAUCAUUAUUUUUUAUACUGAAACUGAGACUUUGACUGUGCCAUGUCAUAAAGGUAUAUUAUUAUUAUUAUUAUAUUAUUAUUAUGGGGGAUCUUUGUAUUGAUCCUGAUUAAGUAAAUUCUAUGUGUGUGUCUCUCUCUCUUUUUUCUUUUCCUUUAUCCUUUUUCUUUUAUUUUCUUUAUUCUUGUCGUUUGUUUUGUUUGUUGGCUUUUUUUUUUUUUUUUUUUUUUUACUUUUUUUUUCUCCGUUGCGAGUAAACUUCCUUGAUAUUUUCCCUUGGAGGGGAGGGGGAGGGAAGAUGGCAUUUUGUGGCUUGCUUUCUUCUUGCCCAUCAUGGCACAGAUUCUGUACAUUUAUUUAAAAGAAAAAAAAAAAUGCAAAGAAGCAAACGAGCGCAGUUUGCUGCAUGCCUGGAAACUGCAAGAGGGAAGGGAGGGGAGGGUCUUGCUCGAAUGUCUCACUCUUGUCUCUCUCCCUCCCUCGCACGCACACUCACCCUCACCCUCCCCGCACCCCCCCGCCAGCCCGGCCCCCCGGCGCAGGGCGGCAGCGGGGCCCGGGGGCCGCGGGGGGAAUCCCGUGGGCUGGGGGAAACCCCCCCUCCCCGGAGCCGAGCAGCCCAAAGGAUGUCACCACGUGGCGCACACACCUAGGGGAUGCUCAGUGACACUUCAUCAUGACGCCAUGGUUUUUUGGAGGACAUCCGCACCUUCCUAAUAAAAGCAACAUGCAAAUAUACAGAAAAAGGGAAAAAAAAAAAAAGAAGCUACUGGGCACCUCUCACUAACAGCUUUGUAGGAAGCACUUUUAAUGUUUUCUCUCAUGCACACAUACACGCACACAAACACACACACAAAGGUACAACAAUGUGCAUAUAUUUAUUCUGUAAUUUCAAGUGAAUAUAAAUUGUAAAGGUAAUGUUUAAUCAUUGUACAGUGAUGCGUCUGGUAUAGCUUUCCUAAUAAAACGUUUUGAAAAACAAUGCAUAUAUAUAUAUAUAUAUAUACAACCCCAAAUAUAUAUAUAUAUAUAGGAAUACAAAGCUUGAACCUGAAACUUCAGCUUCCCCCACGGAGAUUUCCUUCCCUCCCAUAACCUUGAACGCUAUUUUAUUAAUAACAGUUCGAUGCACUGUGAUGUUAACAGAGAAAAAAAAACCCUGUACAGCGUCUCUUGCCAAGAUACCACCCGAGACUGUCACAAAUCCGAUUUGCGAUCUGUAUCCCUGCUGUGCUCUGCUGAUAGUUAAAAAUACCGGGAAAAUUGGGAGCGCAUCCCGCCGGAGCGCUGGCUCCCGGCCUGCUGGAGGCACCGAGGCUUCGCUGGGGUGCCCCCGGCGCUCGCAGCCGCAGUCCGUGCGGGGCGAGCGGUCAAAAUGCACAGGAGAGGGGGUGAAUUAAACGGCAUUUCCAGUUUGGAAUGGGGUGAUGCGAUCUGGAAAGGCACCUCUCCCCGCUCCCGCCGCAAGCGGAGCGAGACCAAAGACGAUCGGAUUUCCCUGCCCCCGGGGGGCAGGUCCCGGUUGGUAUCUUGUCCCCGUUGGUGUGCUGUCCUUGUUGUCCCCACCGUGUCCCCGCCGGUGUUGUGUCCCCGCCGGCCCCGGGACGGGCGCGGUGCGCGGCCCCGCGCGGCCGCCAGGUGGCACCGGCGCUCCAGCGCUGGGGCGGGAGCGCGCACGGACCCGCUCCUGGAGCCGCCUCUGGAGCCGCUCCUGCAUCCCGACCCCGCUCCCGGGCCGGACCCGCUCCCGACCCCUCUCGUGCCCCCCGCCCGCCCCGCUGAAUGUACCCCCGGGCGCCUUAUACCGGGGCGGGGCACGGCCUGCGCCGCCCCGAAGUUCUUCAAAUAGCGAUUUUUAUACAGAAACCCCCAAUCUAUCCAUAAAUAUAAUUUGUCUGAGCAGCGGUCAGGGUGAUGUAUCCAGGUGUGUGGAGGUUAUUCGCCCGCUGAGCUCCAAAGGUGCUGCCCGGAGCGCUCCUGCCGCUGUCCUGAGGGGACCGGGAUUUGUCACCUCCCCGCCCCAAGGUCACUCUCCCGACCAUCCGCCCUCCUCCCUCUGGGGAACAGCUCGGUUUCACCCCGCACAAUGUGUUUUAACAGAGAUAAACCCAUAAAUACUUGUUUCCCCCCCCCCCCCCCCCAGUGUUGCUAUUUACAGCUCCAGCCAGGAUGCUCCUUGUAGGCUUUUUGCAUUCAUCUGUCUUGGAGAGUCAUGGUAGUAGCUGUGGGUGUCUGGAGACACAGGGACAGCUCCCAACGUCUGUAAACCCAGCAUCAUCUCCACUACAUCAGUAAAAAUGUCACCCAUUUGAAUUUCUUCUGUUGAGUUGAUACCGUGUUUUCUCACUGCUGCCUUCAGCUCUAAUCCCUUGGGGUUGGUUCAUUCGUUUGCUUUGUUGUUUGUUUUGUUGUUUGUUUUUUUUUUAAUGGAUAAUAGAAGAGCAUGCACGUGCUAAAGGUGUGAAACAUGCAAGUGCAAAGGCCAGAUCCUCCUCAUCAUAAUUGUAAGAAUUACAUCCAUGAGCCUACAUGCAAAGUAAUGUGGAGCUGUAUAAAUCAGGUUAAAGUACAACCCCCAGUGAGAGUGGUGCUGUAAACAUUUGGCAAUGUCACCAAACCCCCAAGUGUUCAUACUUGUAUCCAAAUAGAGUAAACAUUGCAAAUAAUGUUUAUAUUUUAAUUAAACUGCAGAAAGGCAAGAGAAUUUCAACAUAACUAUAGGCAGUAAUCUCGCCCGUGGACGGUGAGCAGAUCUAUUUAUUCAGUGGAAAAUAAAUUUGUUCUAUGAGAAUGGAAUUUUGUAUUAAAAGAGAUAAUUUUUGGCUUAUGUUGAGUUAUUUUUCUUUCCUUGCGUAGGAAACUUCCUUUUCCUUGUGUAUUGAGAUGAUUUGGGGAUGAAUUGCUCUGCAAGUGUUGACAAUAUUUAAGGGACAAUUCAAUCUGGAAGUGUUGACAAUGUUUAAAGGGAUAAUUCGCUUUGGAAUUGUUGACAAUAUUUAAGUGUGAUGUCUAAAGGGUGUUUUGAUGACUCUUAUUUUGCUGUUUCAUUGUGUUGAGCUGAGGCUGAGUGGGUGGCAGCAGUGCUUUCCACUGCAGGAAACUAAAAUGGAUCCAUCAUCUCCGAUCUCUGAUAGGUGACUCUUUACCUGGGUUACACCUAAUUAUUAGGUAUUAUUAAUGCUAAUUAUAUCAUUAUCAGCAGUAUUCUUGGUAGCAUUCAUGAUACUGGGAAGGAAUCAAAUAAAGUCAAAGUGAUCUGCAGUUACAUUAGAGCUGUUUGACGGGAUACUAUUUUAAAUAAAUAUUUUUUUAGCUUAUUUCAUUGUUGUACAAGUACCUGGUGUUGGCUUGAGCAGUUCAGCCUGUGAGGGUGCUGGUAGCAAAGUUUUCAGCAUGUAUUUGGUCUAUUCACUCAUUGACUAUAUUGAAAUUCUUCCUACAGGUGGAAAAGAACAGCAAGGCCAGUGACCCAAAACCCCUGGCUGCUUUGGAAAGUGGAUAGUAUUGGCAAGCAAAGAAAUAUGGCAAGUAAAGAGUGGUGUACUGCACCUCAAGACUUCCCUCUGUACCAACUGGAUUGCCCACCUGGCCCUCGGCUCUGUAGCAGCCCCCCGAGGUUGGCCCCGGUGGUGUGACGGGCCCCGUGCUCUGCCAGCCCCUCCGAGCCAACCAAAGCCUGUCACAGCCUUCAGAGCACAAAUCCCUGGGCAGAUGGAUCCCUAACAGCUACACUUCAGGGAGAAAAGUGGAGAUGCUCCUAAAAUUAGUUGCUGACAGCUCAAAGGAGGAGUAACUGCCUCCCGUGUCGUUACUUCUUCUGGAACGGGGACGUGUGUUAUGGAAAUGCUGACACUGGGUUUGUACAGUAUGUACACAUGUGCUGUGUGUGUAUCUAAGUGUGUACCCAUGAAUGCACUGUUACAGUGUAGGAUCAGAUUGCUGGAAAGUUCUGGGGGGUUCAGGAGCAUGGCUUGCUUUGGACUGUUAUUAAAAUAUGGGCAUUUUGGUAACGAAGCUAAAAAUAGCCACUUUACGACCUACAUUCCCAAUGUAGGUCAGUGGAGGCACUUCUCAGACAUAUUAGCAUUUUGGACACUUAAUCUUAGCAGCAUAUUGCAUCUCCUAGAAUAGGUUAGUAGAGGCAAGGCAGGAGGAAUUGCUGCAUCUCGAGUCGUUCCGAAAGGUUGCCAAGUUUCUCAGGAACCAGAGCGGCAGAAUAAUGAGGAUUAUAUUUAAUUUGGGAUGGAGAGGCAACCGUGGGGUGUUCAGCAGAGGCAGCUGGGAUCAUCUUGGCUCUGUGGGGGAGGGAGAAUUUAUAACUCUAGCUAGCUAAAAAGCAAGCUGUGUGUGCAUUUGUGUGUAUAUAUAUAUAUAUUUAUAUAUAUGUAUAUACAAAUCUGUGUAUGUGUAUAUAGCACUGUGUGUAUAUAUGUAUGUAUGUAUAUGCCUAAAAUGUAUUAUAUGUGUAUCUAUAGAUAUGUAUACAUUUAUAUGAAUUUAUAUUUCUCUAUAUAAAUAGUCAUGCAACUAUGGGAAGUCACAAUUCAACGGUGUGUCCUUUUUCUUUAAAACACAACAAAAAGCUGCUUCCAUUAAUAUCACAUUGGCACAAGUGUCCUAAGUUUUCUUUUCUCUUUAGAAAGGAGUGGUACUUGUGGCCGAGCACAAGCCUGGAAGGUUUUGACUCUUCCAGAGGGCUCAGAGUGAAUCAUUAUCUGCUCCACAGCCGUUCUACAUUUGUGACAUAAAAUGGUGGCCAAAAUGACUCAGGGCUAGUUUUGUAGGCAAACAAAGUGGGUUGUUGACUGUUUGGAAGUCUCUGUUAUGCUCAUGGAUUUUUGAUGGUGAAAUGUCUGCACUGAUAGUUAUUCUGGUUGCUGUUAAUGCCCAGCUAAUGCUAAUGGCUUGAACAGAGGAAAAAAAAGAUGAAUUUUCUGCUCUAAAGUAAGUUAUCUGAAGUCUGAUUACGUUGACUCAGUGAUGUAUGGAUUUCCAUUUAGGGGCAGGAUGUUGGGCUGUAAAUCAAGAAUCUCAGCUCAGUGAACAUCUAGUUUGGGAUGUCUUUUAUGUUAUAAUUGAUUUAAAAUCAUUUCAAUUCAUCAUCAGAACAAGCUAUACCUUAAUUCAUGAUAAGCUCAAAGGAUCCCUCAGCUGGAAACCCAUUCAUAGCAGGGUGAAUUUUGCACUUGUCUUCGUUGGGGUUGAAUCAGGUCAGAGAGUUUCAUUCAGCGCUGGCAUAAAAACAAUCUUGUAGCUGUGCAACUAUUAAUUCAAAUUGUAAUUUUGUAAUAAAAGCAACCUAAAAAUGA